UCUCAUUCAAGGCCGGCAAACGUGGGGAAGGCAUCGUCGUCAUUGCGGCAACUGUAGAGGCCAGCCAAACACUUUCCAAAACAUAUCGCCCUUGGUGCAUCGUUAACGACAAUGGCACCGUUGUCAGUGCUCACUGCACCUGUAUGGAUGGCCUCGGAGAAUGCUGCACUCAUGUGGUUGCUUUGCUGUUCAGUGUUGAAGCUCAUUUAAAGUAUGGGUUGCACAAUCCAUCACCAACUGAAGUUGCGUGCAAGUGGACCGCGGUGCCACGGAAGAGCACAGCAGCACCAGUCAGUGACAUAAUAUUUUUCAAGCCAAAGACUGGUCAGCCAGUGCCAAGAACACAAGGGGCCGUACCAACCUGGACAGAUGAAUAAGUGUACAACUUCUUGCAGCAACUCAACGUACUGGCCCCAAAGACGCUACUGUUGACUUCAGUAACAGACAGUGAAGAAACAGAUUCUUCACCUGAAGCAGCUGCCCAAGAAGAACAGUUGGACAACGAACAACAGUUGGACAAGGAUGAGUCAUCGCCACAGCUUCCACUCUAUGGUAUAUACGAGGGCAUGAGUACACAAGCAGCUAAAACAGUACAGCUAGC